GCUGCUCAAUUAGGUAGUCCAAAGAGUUCUUUGGUGGAAUAAUCACCCUACACUUUUCCCCUUCAAUAACAUUGAUCAUACACAAAUAUUUAUAGUAGGACUUUAUUGUGGGUGCUUUGUAAACAUCACCACCUCUUCAUUAUCUACACUCAGUUUGAGUGCGCCUUAUCUAACAUCAAUCAAAGCUCCUCUGGUUGCUAAGAAUGGAUGCCCUAAGAUGAUUGGUACUUGUUUG
rnacentral:lncRNA from 1 species